rnacentral:lncRNA from 1 species
CUUGAUGGACGAGAAAUUAAAAGAAUUGAUUUGGAUAAUAAAGAAAAUAUUUUAGGAAGCUCUAAAAAAAACUUGAGCUGAGAAACAAGGAAUUUGGUUAUAGAUAAAGAUAAACACAUACCGGUCAAGGAAGAUCGAUCUACUAAACGCAUUUUUAAAAACUUUGCUCACUCAACACAUAAAGGAGCAACAAGCAAACAUUACAUCAAAAAAAAAUUUCCUUCAAAUUAAAUUUAUAAAGAUUUAAAGAAUGAUAUUUUUCAUAUAACUAAUUGACAUUAUUUUAAACUAACUUUAGAAAUUUUAUCAAAAUAUCAAAACAUCUAUUUUAAUUAGUGCUUUCUAUGCACAACCCAAAAUCAAAAAUUUUGGGGUGUGACAGGUGUCUACCCUUGGG